ACCAUGCAGUCGAACGGUAACGGUUCCUUCGGGAAGCUGACGAGUGGCGAACGGGUGCGUAACGCGUAUGCAACUUACCUCUGACUGGGGUAUAGCCCGAAGAAAUUCGGAUUAAUACCCCAUAACCUAUCGAAUGGCAUCAGGCAGAUAGCAAAGCUUCGGCGGUUGGAGAUGGGCAUGCGUCAGAUUAGCUAGUUGGUGGGGUAACGGCCUACCAAGGCGACGAUCUGUAGGGGGCUCGAGAGGGUGAUCCCCCACACUGGUACUGAGACACGGACCAGACUCCUACGGGAGGCAGCAGUGAGGAAUAUUGGACAAUGGAGGCAACUCUGAUCCAGCCACGCCGCGUGCAGGAAUAAGGCCUUAUGGGUUGUAAACUGCUUUUUUACGGGAAUAAACCGCCCCACGAGUUGGGGUGCUGAAUGUACCGUACGAAUAAGUACCGGCUAACUCCGUGCCAGCAGCCGCGGUAAUACGGAGGGUACAAGCGUUAUCCGGAUUCAUUGGGUUUAAAGGGUCCGUAGGCGGGUUGAUCAGUCAGUGGUGAAAUCCUACAGCUCAACUGUAGAAUGGCCAUUGAUACUGUCAGCCUAGAGUGGGGUUGCAGCAGCUGGAAUAUGUGGUGUAGCGGUGAAAUGCAUAGAUAUCACAUAGAACACCGAUUGCGAAGGCAAGUUGCUAAGCCUCAACUGACGCUGAGGGACGAAAGCGUGGGGAGCGAACAGGAUUAGAUACCCUGGUAGUCCACGCCGUAAACGAUGAUUACUCGGUGUCGGGAUGUAUUCUCGGUGCCCAAGCGAAAGUGAUAAGUAAUCCACCUGGGGAGUACGUUCGCAAGAAUGAAACUCAAAGGAAUUGACGGGGGCCCGCACAAGCGGUGGAGCAUGUGGUUUAAUUCGAU
rnacentral:rRNA from 1 species